rnacentral:rRNA from 1 species
CCUGGUGAUAAUGGUGGAGGUGAUAUACCCGUUCCCAUACCGAACACGGAAGUCAAGCCCUCUUACGCCGAUGAUACUACCCCUCUGAGGGGUGGGAAAGUAGGUCAUUGCCAGGC